CUGCAGUUAGACGAAAAGACCCCAGAAGCUUUACUAUAGCUUGAUAUUGAGUAUACGUUUUUCCUGCGUAGCAUAGGUGGGAGGAUUUGAAGUGAUGAUCUCGGUUGUCAUGGAUCCGACAGUGAAAUACCACUCUUGAACGAUGUAUAUUCUAACCACCGGGGCAAAAACCCGGCGAGACAGUAUCUGGUAGGUAGUUUUAUUGGGGCGAUAUCCUCCUAAACAGUAACGGAGGAGUCUAUUAAGGUUGGCUAGGCGCGAAUGGAAACCGUGCCGAUAGUGUAAUGGCACAAGCCAGCUUGACUGUAAGGCGUGCAUGCCGAGCAGGUGCGAAAGCAGAGCAUAGUGAACCGACGGUUCGUUUUAGACGCGGCCGGAGAUUAACGGAUAAAAGCUACUCUGGGGAUAACAGGCUAGUUGUGCCCAAGCGUCCAUAGCGACGGCACAGUUCGGCACCUCGAUGUCGGCUCAUCUUAUCCUGGGGCUGGAGAAGGUCCCAAGGGUAUGGCUGUUCGCCAUUUAAAAAGAUACGCGAGCUGGGUUCAAACCGUAGAACAUGCGUGAGACAGGUUGGUCUCCUAUCUACUGCAGGCGUUGACAAUUGAAGAGAUUUGUUUCUAGUACGAGAGGACCGAAAUGAACUGACCUCUGGUCUGGGAGCUGUCGUGCCAACGGCACCGCUCCGCAGCUAAGUCGGGAAUGGAUAACCUCUGAAAGCAUCUAAGAGGGAAGCCAACUCUAAGAUUAAUUGUCGUUAUGAGACUCCUGGGAGAUUACCAGGUUGAUAGGCGCUAGGUGUAAGCAUCGUAAGAUGUUCAGCCGUGGCGUACUAAUUC
rnacentral:rRNA from 1 species